UUCAUACCUGAGAAUAAUCGGGUCAAACUUUCGUUCUUGGACCUUUUGUACCGAUUGAUUCUGUGAUCCCUCUAGCUUUGCUUGGUUGUUGUUCAAGACUUCUAAGCACCCUCAAGUGAGUACAUAGACCCCUAUUUUACUGUUUUCCAAACAUUUUGGGGUGAAACACAUGUGCCUACUUGUUACUUUCGUACAAUAGUUGGUGAUAUAUGAUGAUGAUAUUGGUGAAUGCUCACAUAGGAAUGGACGAGGCCUUAGUGACAUUAAAAGAUGCAAGACUAGUUAAUUAUGUUAUGUUUCUUUGUUGUUAAGACAUUGUAACUCAUUUAAUUCAAUAAAACGAA
rnacentral:lncRNA from 1 species